rnacentral:rRNA from 1 species
AUACGGAGGGUGCGAGCGUUGUUCGGAAUUAUUGGGCGUAAAGAGCAUGUAGGCGGUCUGUUAAGUCUGGUGUGAAAGCCCGGGGCUCAACCCCGGAAGUGCAUUGGAUACUGGCAGACUUGAGUAUGGGAGAGGAAAGCGGAAUUCCGAGUGUAGGAGUGAAAUCCGUAGAUAUUCGGAGGAACACCAGUGGCGAAGGCGGCUUUCUGGACCAAUACUGACGCUGAGAUGCGAAAGCGUGGGGAGCAAACAGGAUUAGAUACCCUUGUAGUCC